CAUGCCUAACACAUGCAAGUCGAACGGCUCUUCGGAGCAGUGGCGCACGGGUGAGUAACGCGUGGGAACCUACCCUGAGGUUCGGAAUAACGGCUGGAAACGGCCGCUAAUACUGGAUGUGUCCUAUGGGGCAAAAGGGCUUGCCGCCUUGGGAGGGCCCGCGUCCGAUUAGCUUGUUGGUGAGGUAACGGCUCACCAAGGCGACGAUCGGUAGCUGGUCUGAGAGGAUGAUCAGCCACACUGGGACUGAGACACGGCCCAGACUCC
rnacentral:rRNA from 1 species